GAUCGAAAUGAGUCUUAAUCACUGCUCAGCCUUUGAUUGACAACAUAAACAUCCCCCUGUCUGAAACUCCUGGUGCCCAUUCAGCCCAAAGCACUGUAUGGGAUUCAUUCCAUAACUGGUGAGCCCCUGCUCUGCUCUGAGGGCCCCUUAUGGAGGACUGACUGCAUGGGUCUGCUGGAUGCCAGAGCACUCUUCUGCAGCUCUGCCAAGCAGCAAUAGCCAAGCUGAUGGUCUGUGAUGAGGAGCAGCCAGAGAACUAAGCCCAGCAGGAGAUGAAUGUUGCUGUUAAGCCAUGGAGAUGUCACCUUUCAGCAGGAAGCCCAGGAUGAGACGCUGAGCGAGGACUUUGUUCCACCUGGAUGCAUGGCAGAGUGCUGAGUGCAGGGCUGCUGACCCAGGCACCGCUUCAUUUCAGCCUCAGCAGUAGCACAGAGAGUGGUCCUUACCCCAACCUCAGACACAGUACCUCUACAAAAGCCAGCUGCUGCUCUCACUGCCAUUAAAGGCAGAGGUGCCAAGAUGACAAACAAGACAUCUGGGACUCAGAGUGCAGCUGUGACUGGGGCAUGGCAGGAGAUGCCUGAGUCACUAACACCUUCCGAGGGUUGAGGAGCUAGCGGCCUUAUUAGAACCUCAUGUCACCUCUGACGGCCCCCAUAGCAGACAUGAGAGCGAGCUUGAGAGUCAGAGAGGUCUGGCACCAGCUGGCAGAGUGACCCAGGCCCUGUGGCUGCUGGCCUGGGAGACAGGCCAGAGCCACCACAACUGUCUGCCUGGAUCAGCUCUCGCUGGGAGAGAGGACAGCCCCAGGAUCCCCAUGUGGACA